rnacentral:rRNA from 1 species
AUUGAACGCUGGCGGCAUGCUUUACACAUGCAAGUCGGACGGUAACAGGGUGCUUGCACCGCUGACGAGUGGCGAACGGGUGAGUAAUGCGUCGGAACGUGCCGAGUAGUGGGGGAUAACGCAGCGAAAGUUGUGCUAAUACCGCAUACGUACUGAGGUAGAAAGUGGGGGACCUUCGGGCCUCACGCUAUUCGAGCGGCCGACGUCUGAUUAGCUAGUAGGUGAGGUAAAGGCUCACCUAGGCGACGAUCCGUAGCGGGUCUGAGAGGAUGGUCCGCCACACUGGGACUGAGACACGGCCCAGACUCCUACGGGAGGCAGCAGUGGGGAAUUUUGGACAAUGGGCGAAAGCCUGAUCCAGCCAUGCCGCGUGUCUGAAGAAGGCCUUCGGGUUGUAAAGGACUUUUGUCAGGGAGGAAAUCCCUAGUGCUAAUAACACUGGGGGAUGACAGUACCUGAAGAAUAAGCACCGGCUAACUACGUGCCAGCCGCCGCCGUAA